UACCACUUGCACAAAAUCAAAACCCAAUUAAACUCUUUCCCUCUCCAUUCGAGCAAAACACCGACCUCCCGCCUGCAGCUCAAAAUCACUGUCAAGCUCCCGCUCUCAACCAUCUCUUUCUUUCUUUCUUUCUUUCUCAGCUUCUCUCAGACGCACCCUCACUCCCAUUUUCUCACAGAGUCUCAAAACCAUGUCGUUGGAGCUUUCAACCAUCACAGCUUGCUUGCGAGGUUCUUGAAGAAAGCAAGCUCCUUCUUUCGAAGUAGGUACGGAUGUUUCGUAUUGGUCUGUAUUAAAUUCGAAUUGGGGAUUAGGGUUUUGUUGCAAUCGAUUUUGGGUGGGACUUUGUAUUGAAUUGGGGAUUAGGUUUUAGUUUUCUGGUUUUGGGGAUUGGGAGUUUUAGAGAGCUCGAUUUGUGUGCGAUCCCGCCGGGUAGUAAAAGUAAAACGACGUGUUCGAUAAUCGAUAUAGUUACUGCGAAACCCCUCCAAUGCAGUAGACUAUUUACCAGAAAAGAGCCACAGUCUCUAUUUGCUGCUUGUCUGGUUUAUAUUUUGGGAGGUCCCAAGCAAGAAUAGAAAUUUGGUUGUAGAGAGAUGAAGGCUUGUCAGCGGAGGCCUUGAAUGGUGCGAUCUGAUCCGAUCCGCGUACGUCAUCAUGUUUCUCUUCGACUGGUUCUACGGCGUGCUCGCUUCCCUCGGUCUAUGGCAGAAGGAGGCCAAGAUCUUGUUCCUAGGGCUCGAUAAUGCUGGCAAGACCACCUUGCUUCACAUGCUCAAAGAUGAUAUGAAUUGCAAGUUAAGCUAGAUUUACCAGAUCUGUAAUUUUCAUGCUAAACACUAAAAAGCUGUACAGACUGUCGGAGCUUAGUCCACAGCAGAGGCCAAGUCUAAACUUAUCACGGGGGCACCAGUAAUUAAUCAAAACAAACAGCUUAGUCCGCAGCUCAGAAUACAAAUAGUUUACUUGAAAACAAUCCAAAUCCACCUAGUGAAAGACUUGAGUUUAUGCCCAAAAAGUUCAAUAUUUCGCAUGAAUUUCCAUGGCGAGGCUGGUGCAGCAUCAACCUACGCAAUAUCCCACAUCCGAGGAGUUGAGUAUUGGCAAAAUUAAGUUCAAGGCCUUUGAUUUGGGAGGUCAUUAGAUUGCUCGCAGGGUCUGGAAGGAUUACUACGCAAAGGUUUGCUUCACUCAUGACUUUUUGAACUCCAUAACAAAAGUUAAAGACAUUGUGAUUCUUUGCGAAGUGCUUGCGUUAUUAACCAAGCUUUUGAGUGGAUGGUGCCGACCUCUUGAGGACAAAGGAACUUUAGUGUAUGAUGGGACUUCUGCUCAACUGUUAGAGAAGUAUAAAAUCAAAGGGAACUUGAAUCUCAUUUGGACUGUAGAUAUUCUCCAGGAGAAUGCACAUUACAUCCAAAUUAUGAAGUUUUGGGAUAUUUUGCCAUUUUCUCAUAUACCAGAACUAGCAAAGCGUCUUGACAUUGUUUUUGGGAAUUUUACAGUGGACAAAAUGAACCGCUGCCGUCACAACGUUGACAGGAUACUAUGGUUCCAAUGAGAUGGCCGGUGGUUUUCAGCAAUUUCCCUAUAGCUGAUCAUGAGGAGUUCCUUUCAAAACCAUUGUCUUCUUACAGUAUAACAACUAAUCGAGAAACAGCAACUUCAACAUAUGGGUCAGCAUAUAUUCCAACUUUUUUUGGAAGUCAUUGUUUUUGAAUAAUCAAAUAAAAUUAAACUAUUUGAACAAAAUGAUACACAACUCUAUUUACUAUAAAUAUUGGUUUUGGCAAAUAGGAAUCAACUACCAUGCAGAAGAAUGGAUGUAUAAUUCUGAGCAUGAAAUCUUUUCCUCAUCUUUACUGUAGGUGCUUAUGUUGUUUGGUGAUUCUGGAGUUUAUAGGCCUUAAUUUAAUUUGUAAAUAUCAUAUACUUAAACUCCAAAUGUCUAAAGCUGGAGGUUAUUCUCAGCAGCCUUAUGUCAUCAUGUAGGUCGCGAUUUUGGUCACACAUAUUAUCCACUUUUUCUUGUUCACGUCGAUAGGUGAUGUUGAAGUUCAUGUCCUGAAGAAGAGGAAUUAGUUUUCAAUAGAAAAGAUGGCCAUAUUCUUAUUCAUUACCUGAUAUAUUUUGUAAGCAUAUAUUUGAGCAAAUGUACCACUUGCUUCAAUAGGGAGACAUCGAAAGCAGUAAAACCAAUUAUCCCUUCGAAAAGCAAUGUCAAUUAUCCCUUCGUAUAGUGCUGAUGCAGUUGUCCUAGCUGUUGGAAUCUCCAUGCUUCAUAAACUUAUUGAAAAUAGAUAUUUUGUUAUUGAAUCUCAGAAAGUUUUAUGCAAAUAUCUGUGACCCAAUGUUGAUUAGAAAUCAGGGUUUUUGAUUGAAAACAAAUCAGUUAGUAUUACAAGACAGAAUAGUGUUACUAUUCAUCCUAUUCAUCCACAUAAGGAAGUCCAGAUACUAAUUUUAGAGCUCAUUUCAUGUAUAAGACUGUGAAGUGCAUGUUAGAUCUUAAAUUAACCCUAUUCCUGCUAUUUCUACCUUAAUUGGCAGUACUUGAGUUCUGUAUAGUGCAGAGUUGUGUACGAGGGAUGAAUUUGUCAAGGUCUCGAACCUGCUACCAUCGAUGUACUCUCCGUUAAGCUCUGGCUCAGUAGAGUAGAGGAAGUUUAAUUUUAACAUCACUAUCUAGCUUGUCUAAAUGACUCUUCUCUACAUUUUAACUUUUUCUCCUAAUAUGAACUGGGGAAUUUUACGAGAUUCCUAUGAGCCAAACGAAACUGAGCAUGUCCUUUGAUUCUAGCUUUUAUUUCUAAUAUGCUUUAGUUUUGAAAUAUCGUUCUAAUACCUACUUUGCUGAUUAGGCACUCUAAUCUGGAAACUUUUAAUAUAACAAGUUAGUCGAUGGUACUUUUCCAGUCAUGACUUGAUGGAGCUGAUUCUUUGUUGUGGACCACAUAAUCAGGUGAGCAUUCCAAAUGCAAGCAAUGCUUGCUCAGGUUUUGAUGAUUCGUUUCAGGUGGUCUUUCUUUGAUUUGACUGUAAUUCAUGAUGGCCACAAAGAUAGUACAGUAACAGUGCUACAAGCUGAUUUUUAUCGUGCCAAUGAGUUGUUAGUACUGACAGAUAAGCAAAUAGUUGCCAAGGUGACAUCUUACCUGUCAAAGUGCAUCAAGGACUUCGAGAAUGCUGCUGUGAUAAAUAAGGACAAGUUUUAUGUUUUCCGGCUUUAUGUAUUUAUAUGCACUUAGGGAAUGUUAAUUCCUAUGUAAAUGUUGAGAUGAAUAUUGCUGAUGGAAUGAAAUGGUUUUUGGAAUCAA